UACGGAGGGUGCAAGCGUUAUCCGGAUUCACUGGGUUUAAAGGGUGCGUAGGCGGAUAUGUAAGUCCGUGGUGAAAUCUCUGGGCUUAACCCGGAAACUGCCAUGGGUACUAUGUGUCUUGAAUGUUGUUGAGGUGAGCGGAAUAUGUCAUGUAGCGGUGAAAUGCUUAGAUAUGACAUAGAACACCAAUUGCGAAGGCAGCUCACUAAGCAAAUAUUGACGCUGAGGCACGAAAGCGUGGGGAUCAAACAGG
rnacentral:rRNA from 1 species